rnacentral:rRNA from 1 species
UACGUAGGGUGCAAGCGAUGUCCGGAAUUAUUGGGCGUAAAGAGCUCGUAGGCGGUCUGUCGCGUCUGCUGUGAAAACCUAGGGCUUAACUCUGGGCGUGCAGUGGGUACGGGCAGACUAGAGUGCGGUAGGGGGAGACUGGAAUUCCUGGUGUAGCGGUGAAAUGCGCAGAUAUCAGGAGGAACACCGGUGGCGAAGGCGGGUCUCUGGGCCGUAACUGACGCUGAGGAGCGAAAGCAUGGGGAGCGAACAGG